AUGCACAAGUUCAAGACCUUGGCCAAGGCCCUGACCGGCAAGACCGUCACCGCCGGGAGGAACUCUUCCGGGCGGAUCACUUCUUUUCACCGAGGGGGUGGAUCCAAGCGAUCGCUUAGGGACAUUGACCUCAAAAGGAACACUUGCUCCGUUGGCAUUGUGGAAAGGAUUGAGUACGACCCUAACCGCUCUUCUCGGAUCGCUCUUCUCCGAUGGAUUGAAGGGGUGCCUCAAAAGGAUGCAGCAUACAAGGCCGAGCGUGCGCCUGUCAAUUACAUCAUAGCCAGCCAUCAAAUGGAACCGGGCAGCAUGGUGGUGAACAGCGACUCCUCCAAACCUUCCACGACCGGCUCCUUGAUGCGGCCUGCCCACAAUGCUGAUUCUUUCCUUCGGUUCCAAGAGCUGUUCCGCAAGGCCAGCCAAGAAGCCGAAGAGGAGGGCGCUGAUGAUCAAGCAGCAAAGGAUGCGGCGGUCACCACAGCAGCGCCGCUCAUGCCUGCCGACCUACUGGACCUCAAUUCCAAGGUGGGAAACUGCAUGCCGUUGUCUGACAUCCGCAUGGGCACAUGGGUGCACAGCAUCGAGCUGCGUCAUGGCCAGGGGGCGAAGCUCGUGCGGGCCGCCGGAGCCUACGCCAAGGUGGUCAAGGAGUCGGCCAUGCAGUGCCUUGUGCGGCUGCCGUCGGGCGUCGAGAAGCUGAUAGACUCGCGGUGCCGGGCCACCAUCGGCGUCGUCUCCAAUGCCACCCAUGGCGCGCGGAAGCUGAGGAAGGCGGGGCAUAGCCGGUGGCUGGGCAGGCGCCCGGUCGUCCGUGGUGUCGCAAUGAACCCGGUGGACCAUCCCCAUGGAGGAGGCGAGGGGCGCACCAAGGGUGGCAGGCCCUCGGUGUCGCCCUGGGGGAAGCCCACCAAGGCUGGGUAUCGGACCGUGCCCAAGAAGCCAAAGGCUCAGCUGUCCCGUGAUUGA
rnacentral:rRNA from 1 species